GCCUCGUUAGCUCAGUUGGUAGAGCAGCUGACUCUUAAUCAGCGGGUCGUAGGUUCAACUCCUACACGAGGCA
rnacentral:tRNA from 1 species